ensembl:lncRNA
CCCACAUUCUGCAGAUGUAGGCUCUAGGUCUUCUCCAUGUAGGUCAGAUACAGUAACCCCAUGCUUCAAACCCAUACCAGGUUUCAGAGCAGCCUAGAUCCAGAUUGGCCCACAAAUUCUCUGGGCUUUAGACCCACCCCAGCAAUACAUCAGUACACAGGGCAUCAGAUAUAGGCAAAAGGCUAUUGUCCACCUACCACUACAACCCUGUGGUCCACUAAGCACAGAAUGCAGGUCAACUCCCAAAGACCCAGGGUCUAGCCCCAUCCCAGCAGACCUCAGGCCUGGGUUGGUCUCCAUGGACCCAGGUUCCAGGAUGAUCUUUGUGAACUCAGUUUUUAGGCUGGGACAGUUUUCAGGUCCUGGGGCUCCCUGGUCCCAGGAUCUUGAUAAGUUUGCUUGUCUAUCAGCACCAGACUAGUACCCAUUAUCCCAGGAUCUAGACUGGCCCCCACUGCUACAUGCUCUAUCCCUACUUCAGAAUUAGUCUACCCCUAGGUUUAGGCUUCACUGGACCUAUGAUUCAGGGCCUUUGCAACAGACUUAGGGUCCAGACCCAUCCAAGUAGACUCUGAUGUUAUGCUCCCUUUCAAACUGAUCUUCUAAGAGCACCCUACAGACCCAGUCUCCCAGCCAAGCCCCUGUGGGCACAGGACUCAAAACUGUCUAUGUGGACUUCAGAACCAGCAUAACACCAGGGGAAGGAACAGAGAUGAACAACACAGAUAACAGGACAAGGAUAUACAGAAGACCCUGCUCGCAUCAGUGCUUUCCACCCCACUGUUCCCUGGACCACCUCUUACCCCUUCAAGAAGCUGUGUGUUCAAUAAAUAGUGGCAAGAUCCAGGACACAGCGUCUUAGCCUGAUAAGAGCUUUGACAGUCUUGAGCCCCCUAUUUAUGCAGUAAAGAUCUUGUCUUUUGUUAUCCUGCUGCCAUACCGAUGUUCAGGUGAUUAGAGGUCUGAUCAGCCUACAAUAAUUCUCCAAGUUGGAAGUGGAGUGCCUGGUGUCUUGGACACACAACUAUUACCGUUUAUUAUAUUCUCCUAAUUAUUGCAUUUUAAAUGAAAUGGGAUGACUUACUUUAAAAAAACAGUUUCAAAGUAAAAUAAAUGUGCUAUCACUGUAAGUGAUACAUGUGUAUGGAGCAUGUUUUUACUUGUAAAGUCUGCCUUAAG